rnacentral:rRNA from 1 species
CUUUUGUAUAAUGGGUCAGCGACUUAUAUUCAGUAGCGAGGUUAACCGUAUAGGGGAGCCGUAGAGAAAUCGAGUCUUAAUAGGGCGUUUAGUUGCUGGGUAUAGACCCGAAACCAGGCGAUCUAUCCAUGAGCAGGUUGAAGGUUGGGUAACACUAACUGGAGGACCGAACCCACUGUCGUUGAAAAGCCAGGGGAUGACUUGUGGAUAGGGGUGAAAGGCUAAUCAAGCCUGGUGAUAGCUGGUUCUCCCCGAAAGCUAUUUAGGUAGCGCCUCGGACGAAUACCAUAGGGGGUAGAGCACUGUUUCGGCUAGGGGGUCAUCCCGACUUACCAAACCGAUGCAAACUCCGAAUACCUAUGAGUACUAUCCGGGAGACAGACUGCGGGUGCUAACGUCCGUAGUCAAGAGGAAAACAAUCCAGACCGCCAGCUAAGGCCCCAAAAUCAUAGUUAAGUGGGAAACGAUGUGGGAAGGCAUAGACAGCUAGGAGGUUGGCUUAGAAGCAGCCACCCUUUAAAGAAAGCGUAAUAGCUCACUAGUCGAGUCGGCCUGCGCGGAAGAUGUAACGGGGCUAAAACUAUGUGCCGAAGCUGCGGAUGUAUACUUUGUAUACGUGGUAGGGGAGCGUUCUGUAAGCCGAUGAAGGUGUGUUGAGAAGCAUGCUGGAGGUAUCAGAAGUGCGAAUGCUGACGUGAGUAACGACAAAACGGGUGAAAAACCCGUUCGCCGAAAGACCAAGGGUUCCAGUCCAACGUUAAUCGGGGCUGGGUGAGUCGACCCCUAAGGCGAGGCCGAAAGGCGUAGUCGAUGGGAAAAUGGUUAAUAUUCCAUUACUUCUGUGUAAUGCGAUGAGAGGACGGAGAAGGCUAAAUCAGCCUGGCGUUGGUUGUCCAGGUGAAAGGAUGUAGGCAUGUAUCUUAGGCAAAUCCGGGGUACUCUAUGCUGAGAUCUGAUAGCAAGCUGUACUUGUACAGCGAAGUGGUUGAUGCCAUGCUUCCAGGAAAAGUCUCUAAGCUUCAGUUACACAGGAAUCGUACCCGAAACCGACACAGGUGGUCAGGUCGAGUAGACCAAGGCGCUUGAGAGAACUCUGCUGAAGGAACUAGGCAAAAUGGUACCGUAACUUCGGGAGAAGGUACGCUGUUGUUGGUGAUGGAACUCGCUUCCUGAGCUGACGACAGCCGCAGAAACCAGGCCGCUGCAACUGUUUAUUAAAAACAUAGCACUCUGCAAACACGAAAGUGGACGUAUAGGGUGUGAUGCCUGCCCGGUGCUGGAAGGUUAAUUGAUGGGGUUAGCGUAAGCGAAGCUCUUGAUCGAAGCCCCAGUAAACGGCGGCCGUAACUAUAACGGUCCUAAGGUAGCGAAAUUCCUUGUCGGGUAAGUUCCGACCUGCACGAAUGGCAUAAUGAUGGCGGCGCUGUCUCCAGCAGAGGCUCAGUGAAAUCGAAAUCGCUGUGAAGAUGCAGUGUACCCGCGGCUAGACGGAAAGACCCCGUGAACCUUUACUGCAGCUUGACACUGAACUUUGACCUUACUUGUGUAGGAUAGGUGGGAGGCUUUGAAGCUGGAACGCUAGUUCCAGUGGAGCCGUCCUUGAAAUACCACCCUGGUAAUGUUGAGGUUCUAACUCUGUCCCGUGAUCCGGGACGAGGACCGUGUCUGGUGGGUAGUUUGACUGGGGCGGUCUCCUCCUAAAGAGUAACGGAGGAGUACGAAGGUGCGCUCAGCGUGGUCGGAAAUCACGCGUAGAGUAUAAAGGCAAAAGCGCGCUUAACUGCGAGACCCACAAGUCGAGCAGGUACGAAAGUAGGUCUUAGUGAUCCGGUGGUUCUGUAUGGAAGGGCCAUCGCUCAACGGAUAAAAGGUACUCUGGGGAUAACAGGCUGAUACCGCCCAAGAGUUCAUAUCGACGGCGGUGUUUGGCACCUCGAUGUCGGCUCAUCUCAUCCUGGGGCUGAAGCAGGUCCCAAGGGUAUGGCUGUUCGCCAUUUAAAGAGGUACGCGAGCUGGGUUUAGAACGUCGUGAGACAGUUCGGUCCCUAUCUACCGUGGGCGCUGGAAAUUUGAGAGGAUCUGCUCCUAGUACGAGAGGACCAGAGUGGACGAACCUCUGGUGUACCGGUUGUGACGCCAGUCGCAUCGCCGGGUAGCUAUGUUCGGAAGGGAUAACCGCUGAAAGCAUCUAAGCGGGAAGCCUACCUCAAGAUAAGAUUUCCCUAGGACUUUAUGUCCUCUAAAGAGCCGUUCGAGACUAGGACGUUGAUAGGUUGGAUGUGGAAGCAUAGUGAUAUGUGAAGCUGACCAAUACUAAUUGCUCGUGAGGCUUGACUAU